ACGUUGGCGGCGUGGAUUAGGCAUGCAAGUCGAGCGAGAAGGUUCCUUCGGGAACUGGACAGCGGCGAAAGGGAGAGUAACGCGUAGAUAUCUGCCUCGAGGCCCGGGAUAGCGGCGGGAAACUGCCGGUAAUACCGGAUAACAUCUCCGGAUCAAAGGUGUGAUUCCGCCUCGAGAUGAGUCUGCGUCCUAUUAAUGCUUGUUGGUGUGGUAACGGCGCACCAAGGCGAAGAUGGGUACCGGGUGUGAGAGCAUGGCCCGGCUCACUGGGACUGAGACACUGCCCAGACACCUACGGGUGGCUGCAGUCGAGAAUCUUCGGCAAUGGGCGAAAGCCUGACCGAGCGACGCCGCGUGCGGGAUGAAGGCCCUCGGGUUGUAAACCGCUGUCAGUAGGGAGCAAAUCUCUUGGGGUUAUCCCCUUGAGUUGAGCGAUCUUCAGAGGAAGUACGGGCUAAGUUCGUGCCAGCAGCCGCGGUAAGACGAACCGUACGAACGUUAUUCGGAAUCACUGGGCUUAAAGAGUCCGUAGGCGGCCGUGUAGGUGGGAUGUGAAAGCCCUCGUCUCAACCGAGGAAUUGCGUUCCAAACCACAUGGCUUGAGGAGGAUAGAGGUGAGCGGAACUGAUGGUGGAGCGGUGAAAUGCGUUGAUAUCAUCAGGAACACCAGAGGCGAAGGCGGCUCACUGGGUCCUUUCUGACGCUGAGGGACGAAAGCUAGGGGAGCAAACGGGAUUAGAUACCCCGGUAGUCCUAGCUGUAAACGAUGAGCACUAGAUCGAGGGGACUUCCACAUUUUCUCGGUCGUAGCGAAAGUGUUAAGUGCUCCGCCUGGGGAGUAUGUCGCAAGGCGAAACCUCAAAAAUGAAAUGCGG
rnacentral:rRNA from 1 species